GCAUGGGUCGGGUCAUCGGGUCAUGACUCUUAAACGGUGCCGUUUUAAAGCUAUUGAAGUAGACUUAAAAUGAUGUCGUUUCAUAUACUCCAUAAAAAACAAAAGAAAACCUUAAAAUGAACCCCUAAUCACUUUAAACAAAAUCAAAACAAAAAACCUAAGCUUCCUAUCCCUCUCAUUCGGCCGAAUCAGACGGUUCUUCGCCCAUCUGCCAUUUCGCCUCCAUGUUUCGGUGGAUCGCACCAUAUGAAAGCAUGAUUUUCCUUAUUCGAAGACGAACCCAAAGGUUCGAUAGCCGUACGGAGGAGAAGACUGUGGUGACGUGGAGGAGGCAGUUGGAGGUUGCGGCGGCUGAAGCUCUUAGGGUUUGCUGAGUGGUUUUUUUUUAUUUGGGCUAGGAUUUGGGUUAUUUGUUGGGUCUGGUGUUGGGUUUAUUUUUUGUUUUAGGCCUCAAGUUUGGGUUUGUAUUUAAUGGAUUGCAAACAAUUUAAUUUUAUUUAUUUUAUUUAUUUAUUUGUUGUAAAUAAUUUUAAAGACCCGGGUAAAAUGGGCUUUCUACAGUAAAA